GAUGAACGCUGACAGAAUGCUUAACACAUGCAAGUCUUUGGCGAAGCUGUGCUUGCACAGCCUAGCCAAGGCGGACGGGUGAGUAACGCGUAAGGGACUUGCCCUGCAGUCAGGGAUAACAGACGGAAACGACUGAUAAGACCUGGUAAAGUCAGGCGGACUCAUGUCCAGCCUGAUGAAAAGGAAUGCUGCAGGAGAGCCUUGCGUCCUAUUAGCUUGUUGGUGGGGUAACGGCCCACCAAGGCGAUGAUAGGUAGCCGGCCUGAGAGGGUGGACGGCCACAAGGGGACUGAGAUACGGCCCUUACUCCUACGGGAGGCAGCAGUGGGGAAUAUUGGACAAUGGGGGCAACCCUGAUCCAGCAAUUCUGUGUGCACGAUGAAGGUCUUCGGAUUGUAAAGUGCUUUCAGCAGGGAAGAAAA
rnacentral:rRNA from 1 species